ensembl:lncRNA
AUGUUGUUAGUUAACACUUCUAUUGUUCAUUCAUUUGGUCAUCAUGUGUCGUCUGACCUGACUGAUGCUCCUUGCAGAAUAGGCUCCACCCUGCCUUGUUUUUUUGUGUCCCUGUGGUGGCAUCACCUCCAGACAGAGCAGGUCGAGGAGCGCUACAGCCUGCAUCAGCAUGACUUCCUCCAGCAUCAACCCAAAUGGAUCCACCGUCUCAAUCUCUUUAUCCACCGUCUCUUACUUGGAAUGUUGAUUUUGGUCAUCUUUCUGACUGACACUUGUAUUACUUUCUUCCCAGGAGGGUUCUGCGUGUGUGGAAGGAGACUGCGGCAGCCAGGAGCAGUGAGAAGAGGGCAGGGAACCACUACCGGCACUGUUCAGGCUAAGGUGCUGUUGGCAUGGAGGAAAGCCACAUCCUGUGUCAAACCGUCACCGGCAGUGAGCAGGGCUCCGAGUCGCAUGGAUAAAGUGAGGCAGCGGUGGACUUUCAGGAGAUGGUGGGAACAGAGCGGUUGUGGAGGAGAGUACAGGUGUGGAGAAAACCAAAAGGCACCACCACUCUUCUUUGCAGUAUGUUCAGAUUGGGGACUAUGUACCGGCAGCAUCAGCAGAGCAAUAAGGUAGAUGGAUACUGCGUUCGGUCUGUUGUGUGGUGUUUGAUACAUUCUGAUCCUAUGUUAGUCUGUGUUUAAUAUUGUGUUUUUCAUGUCCUUAUUUAGGUGAUGCAAGAAACAGGACACUCAAUGUUGAGACUGGCCGCCCCCAGUUGGUAAGGGGAGGUAACAACACAGCCGCCAUGCUUAUCCUCAACACGGGGGCCCCUCCUGUACCCCCUGUUCACUCAUGACUGCACGGCCAGGCACAACUCCAACACCAUCAAGUUUGCCGAUGACACAACAGUGGUAGGCCUGAUCACUGACAAGGAUGAGAAAGCCUAUAGGGAGGUCAGAGACCUGACCGUGUGGUGCAAGGACAACAACUUCUCCCUCAAUGUGAUCAAGACAGAGGAGAUGAUUGUGGACAACAGGAAAAGGAGGACCAAGCAUGCCCCCAUUCUCAUCGACAGGGCUGUAGUGGUGCAGGUUGAGAGCUUCAAGUUCCUUGGCGUCCACAUCAACAACAAACUAACAUGGUCCAAGCACACCAAGACAGUCGUGAAGAGGGCACGACAAAACCUAUUCCCCCUCAGGAGACUGAAAAGAUUUGGCAUGGGUCUUCAGAUCCUCAAAAGGUUCUACAGCUGCACCAUCGAGAGCAUCCUGACGGGUUGCAUCACUGCCUGGUAUGGCAACUGCUCGGCCUCCGACCACAAGGCACAACAGAGGGUAGUGCGUACGGCCCAGUACAUCACCGGGCCAAGAUUCCUGCCACCAAGGACCUCUAUACCUGGCGGUGUCAGAGGAAGGCCGUAAAAAUUGUCAGACUCCAGCCACCCUAGUCAUGGACUGUUCUCUCUCAUAAGACUCCUAAUCAAAUGGCUACCUAUACUAUUUGCACCCCCCCCCCCCCCCCGCGCUGCUGCUACUGUCUGUUAUUUCUAUGCAUAGCCACUUUAACAACCCUACCUGCAUGUACAUAAUUGUUAAUUACCUCGACACCAGUUCCCCGCACAUUGCCUCUGUAUCGGUACCCCCUGUAUAUAGCCCCGCUAUUGUUAUUCACUGCUGCUCUUAAUUAUUUGUUUUUCUUAUCUCUUACUACUUAAUUUUUAUUUUUUAGGUAUUCUCUUAACCGCAUCGUUGGUUAAGGGCUUGUAAGUAAGCAUUUCACUGUAACCUGUUGUAUUUGGCGCAUGUGACAAAUACAAUUUGAUUUGAAACAAUACAUGCCAGCUCUUUUUCUUUUUUUGCACGCUGGAAUAUUGUGGUGAGGUUAUUGCUGUUUUACCAUGGUUAUUUCAAAUAUUAAAGGUCAACUUACCAAGACUUGUGUGAGAAAUUGUGUUCAGGUUACUUUAAAAUACAAUUAUUUAAUUGAAAAAUAGUGUUUUUGGAUGUUUCUUGGCUUUAAUGAUCUCCUCUUUCUAUGAUCCAUCUGUGAGCUUCUGAGUGUUGGGGUGAACUCCUGGCUGUUAUGUAACUCAGUGUUUUUUCUUCCCUGGCCUGCACAGCUGCAGCACAGAAGGGGAGAGAGGCUGAGCAGACAGAACUGGCCCUUUGGCAUUGGACCCUCAGUCUGCAGGCCAAGGUAACACCUGGACACAUACUUCACUGUCGGCUGGCCUUCAGCCUAACUAAAACAUGAAAUAUUAUCCCUGUCUCUGUUUGUCUGUAGUGGAGGACAUCUCUCCUGUAUGAUUACCAUUGCUGACCCUGUUAAUGUACAGCCUGGGUCCAGAUCUGUUUGUGCUGUCUUUCCAAUGACCAUAGGAGUUAGCAAGACAGCAGAAACGGCUCUGUGACCAGGCUAAUGGGUGUAACGUCAGAGACCUAUUUUCCUCAUUGAUGAUAUCCAGGCCACAGCUGGAAUAAGGAUAUGAAAGGGACUCGAUAGACAUAAUGAAUGAGACAUCCCCUGGUGAAUAGAGUGGAAAUGUAUUGAAUAGUGUAUACUCCUCAGACACACUGGAUGAGACGGAAGAUCCCCUGGUGUGUUCUGUUCCAGGUGCUGGAGGCUAUGGGUCGCGGAGCAGCACCGGAAGCAGGAGAGGCUGGCCCAGGCUGCCCAGUUCUAUAGAGACCAGCUUCUGAGGAAAGGGGUGGCCCACGCAGCUCACAUGGGCAGCUUCUGCACCAACAUAGCACUUCACAGCCAGGAGCAGGUGUGUGUGAGCAGAUGGUGUGUUUUAUUAUUCUAGUGUGUCUUGUCUGUGUGGAACUGUAUCAAGCCAGUCUUUUUUUGUACUUUAAAGAGUUCUUCGCGGUGUCUCCAGGGGUGGUGUUGCAGUGGAAACAGACAGCAGUGAGGUUUUAAAAAAUUUAAUAUUAUUUCACCUUUAUUUAACCAGGUAGGCCAGUUGAGAACAAGUUCUCAUUUACAACUGCAACCUGGCCAAGAUGAAGCAAAGCAGUGCGACAAAUAUUACACAUGGGAUAAACAAACGUUAAGUCAAUAACACAAUACAAAAAUCUGUAUACAGUGUGUGCAAAAUGAAGUAAGGAGGUUAGGCAAUAAAUAGGCCAAUAGUGGCGAAGUAAUUACAAUUGAGCAAUUAACACUGGAGUGACAUAUGUGCAGAUGAGGAUGUGCAAGUAGAAAUACUGGUGUGCAAAAGAAAACAAAAGCAAAUUUGGGGAUGAGGUAGAUAGUUGGUAGGAUGGGCUAUUUACAGAUGGGCUGUGUACAGCUGCAGCGAUCGGCAAGCUGACGCUUAAAGUUAGUGAGGGAGAUAUGUCUCCAGCUUCAGUGAUUUUUGAAAUUCGUUCCAGUCAUUGGCAACAGGGGACUGGAAGGAAAGGCGGCCAAAGUAGGUGAUGGCUUUGGGGAUGACCAGAGAAAUAUACCUGCUGGAGCGUGUGCUACGAGUGGGUGUUGCUAUGGUGACCAGUGAGCUGAGAUAAGGCGGAGCUUUACCUAACAAAAACUUAUAGAUGACCUGGAGCCAGUGGGUUUGGCGACGAAUAUGUAGUGAGUACCAGCCAACGAGAGCAAACCGGUCGCAGUGGUGGGUAGUAUAUGGGGUUUUGGGGACAAAACAGAUGGCACUGUGAUAGACUGCAUCCAAUUUGCUGAGUAGAGUGUUGGAGGCUAUUUUGUAAAUGACAUCGCCGAAGUCAAGGAUUGGCAGGAUAGUCCGUUUUACGAGGGUAUGUUUCGAAAUCCGAUAAUCGAUUUAAUUUUGGAUUGGAGAU